GACUACCCGCGAAAUCGCUCCAGUCGUUGCCGGCGAACACAAGCACCACCACGUCCACGAGACUAUCCAGCCUGUGAUCCAGAAGGAGACCAUUGAGCCUCACGUCACCCACACCACUGUACCCAUCCACGAGGUUCACCACAACGCCGCCCAGCACCACUCCGCCUCUGCCCUCCCUGCAGUCUCCAUGGCCGAGUUCAAGGCACAGGGUGGCUCCCUUGUCGGCCGCGAGGAGC
rnacentral:misc_RNA from 1 species